CAGUCGGCGGGCGGCGGCGGGGCAGGCGGCGUCUGUCCCCGGGCUCCAGCGGCCGCGUCGGGUCGGGAUCCUGGGCGACAUGGGCACCGAGGCGACGCGCGGGACGAGUCAGCUCCCUCUCCUCGCAUCGGUCAUCCUGUGCUCCCUGGCGUUGGGCAGGGGUGCUGUGUACACUUCGGAACCUGAAGUCAGAGUCGCUGAGAACAAACCCGCCAAGUUGUCCUGCUCCUACUCUGGCUUCUCCUCUCCCCGCGUGGAGUGGAAGUUUGCCCAGGGGGACAUCACCAGCCUCGUUUGCUAUAACAACAAGAUCACGGCUUCCUAUGAGGACCGAGUUACCUUCUCGCACAGUGGCAUCACUUUCCACUCUGUGACCCGGAAGGACACAGGGAUGUAUACUUGUAUGGUCUCUGAUGAAGGCGGCAACACCUACGGGGAGGUCACCGUCAAGCUCAUUGUGCUUGUACCUCCAUCCAAGCCCACGGUCAACAUCCCCUCCUCUGCCACCAUCGGGAAUCGGGCAGUGCUGACCUGCUCGGAGAAAGAUGGCUCUCCCCCUUCUGAGUUCUACUGGUUCAAGGACGGGGUCCUGAUGCCCACAGAGCCCAAGAGCAGCCGGGCCUUCAGCAACUCUUCCUAUAGCCUGGAUCACAAGACAGGGGAGCUGAUCUUCAAUCCUGUGUCAGCUUUUGAUACUGGAGAAUACAUUUGUCAGGCGCAGAAUGGGUAUGGGACACCCAUGAGGUCAGAGGCGGUGCGCAUGGAAGCUGGGCACGGUUCUUGGGUGCCAUCUGAGUACUGACCUGAUAGUGAGCCCACAUGUGCAGGGGUUACCUCCCGGGAGCAAAGAAAGGGUGAGUGAGGUGCUGUCCUGGGGAUCUCCGAGGUGGAGGCCAUGGAUGCGUGUGGUUUGAAGCUGAGAUGGGCCCGGGGGAAGGGGUCGAAGGCAGAGGCAACCCUGGCUGGGCGGGCAUAUGGAUUUCUACCUCUCCCUCUGCCCAGGGCCUUGCAUUGGUCCUGCCUCCCUCGGCCCACACAUCCCUACUGAGGACUCUGUGCUUCUGUGAGGUUCCCCGUGUGGCCUCUUGAGCUGGCAGGCAGGGGUUAGGGACAGCACUGGGGCCCUGAGCAUCCCCGUCUUCUCGCUUAUCUGCAGGACCUCCAGUAAGAAGGUGAUUUACAGCCAGCCCGCCGCUCGCAGCGAGGGGGAGUUCAGGCAGACCUCGUCGUUCCUGGUGUGACCCUGGUCCGGCUCCUGUCCUGUCCCCCGCGCUUGCCUUACUCUGGUGCUACCAGACUGUGGCCCGUGAUGUCUGUACUUCCGCAGGAUGCCUUAUGCGUCAUCUAGCCCCCACCCGGGUCCCCACUUUUAUCUUAGUUAGGAUGUGUUUUUAAAGAUACUGUCAGCUGUGUGCCCCUUCCUCCUGCAUCCUUCCCUACCUCCUUUUGCCACUUGUGUAAAGCUUUCAGUCCCCGGCCCUGUGAGGGAUCCAGCAGGGGUCCUGAGUGGCACCCGCUGACUUCCUUCCAAGUAGGUGGGUGAGGACUGGGGCACCAGGUGGCAGGCCCUCUCUGCCCCCUGUGUGUAGUGAUCUUGAGCUCAGGCCCUCAGUCCUCUUCUCCUGUGCUGAGGCGGUACCAGCCAUUCUAGAACAGAGCCUGGAGACCUGGAGACCGAGCAGGUGGUUCGGUGACAACCUCCAGUCCCUCCCGCUUCUGCAGCCCACUUUCUUCUGUCUUCCCACGGGAAGUGCCACUGGGAUCCUCCCGCACCGUCCUGAGCACAACCAGACUGAUACUGUGUCUGUAGAAAACAAGACAGAACAAAACACAAAAAAGACAAACAACAAACCCCAAACAGGAGCUUUCGCUACAGACAGCACGUGAGCUUCCAGGGGCCACGGAGUAGAGGAGUUUUUCAGGGAAGCUGGAGCGGAUACUCAGGCCAUCGGCCUUCCCUUGGCUGCAACACCUGGACGAACCCCUUGGAGAGGCCUCUGAGGGGCUGUGGGAACGUGGGUAAUAGGUCUGAGCUCUUUGCUCUUUGCUGAGCGUGUGUGUGCAUGCGUGUGUGUGCAUGCGUGUGUCCAGGAAGACAAAAUUACAGCCUGUCAUGUGGUGUCUUAGCUCUGCCGAAUUCGAUCCAGUGUGUGUUGUUGGUGCUUCUGAGCUCUUUGGUGAGAUUUCGUUGGCGUGUGUCUGUCUGUUGCUUGAUGUUGCUGGAAACAAGAACUCGGUUUGUGAAAGCUUCUAGGUGGGGGAGGUGGGGGGAGCGGGGUGGAGAGGGGGAUGAGGUGCCUUUGUACAAACAGAAGAUGCCUGAAGCCCAGUUUCCCUGCAGCCUGGGCUUGGUCCUGGCUGCCCGGGCCACCCCAGCCUGGUUCCAGGCUCCAGGUGGUGCCUGAACUGCGAUCCCUCAGUCUAGAGCCCUCAGGAGGAUGGAUCCCACCCAGCAAGAGGAGGAAGUGGAUGCCCACCCUCCCGCCGCCGCCAACCGGCUGCAUUAACAGACUUCUCCAAGGCUGUGGGGAAACUGCUCCAGAGCCUGAGGCAGGAGGAUGCCUCUAAGCCUUUGGAAAACUUCUCGUAGUACAGUGGUCACCGCUAGUUUAAGCUGGUGGGAGCGGGGUGAGUUGCUGCUGUGGAAGGAGAAGAUGCUCAGAGACCAGGUGGUGAGGCCGCCGGCAUGGGAGGAAGCAGGAGGAAGCAAGGUGCACCUGCCUUUCAUUGCCUUCCUCGCUCCACCUGGACCCUUUCUGCCUUUAAAUUUCUGUCUCCCCAUCUGCCACAGUCCCCCGGUCUAUUUAUUAACCAGCAAGACGGCAAAUAAGGCGUUUUCUAGGGUUGAUUUUUGCUUCUUUCUGUGGAGGACACUAAGCCCCACUUUGCCAUGUUUUAUUCCCUUUUCUGGAAAGCCCCAACAGAAUCGAGUGGUCUAUUAAGAAUCCGGAAGAAAAACCCAAACCGACCAAACCAUCAGUUAAGGGUCAUGCUCCAAUAAGAAAAUAAAUAUUCCAGAUGGAAAUAAAAUUUAAUGAAACAAUAAAAGUAGAAAUUAUGAAACGGUUCAGUAAGAAUGAGAUUUUUAAAAGUAUGUUUCAGCUUUGGAUCCUGCUUGGGAGAUGGGGUGGGAGGGAUGGAGCGAAAACCCCACAGGGAAGCAGAAGUGAUUCAGCAUUCCUUUGCCAAGGUGAAUGGUUCCUCACUCCCUCAGUCACUUGGGGCGAGGAGGAGUCCUUUAUUACCAGCCUUGGAAUUCACCUCUGCAGCUUCCCACAGCCCCUUGGAGUUGGAAAACACCUUGUCUGUUUUCAUCUUGAAAUGUCAAAACUCAUUUUUGUAAUAAAUGUUUAUUUUUCACAUUGA